rnacentral:rRNA from 1 species
UGUCCCAGCCGCCGCGGUAAUACAGAGGGCGCGAGCGUUAAUCGGAUUUACUGGGCGUAAAGCGCGCGUAGGUGGCUAAUUAAGUCAAAUGUGAAAUCCCCGAGCUUAACUUGGGAAUUGCAUUCGAUACUGGUUGGCUAGAGUAUGGGAGAGGAUGGUAGAAUUCCAGGUGUAGCGGUGAAAUGCGUAGAGAUCUGGAGGAAUACCGAUGGCGAAGGCAGCCAUCUGGCCUAAUACUGACACUGAGGUGCGAAAGCAUGGGGAGCAAACAGGAUUAGAUACCCUGGUAGUCCAUGCCGUAAACGAUGUCUACUAGCCGUUAGGGUCCUUGAGACUUUAGUGGCGCAGUUAACGCGAUAAGUAGACCGCCUGGGGAGUACGGCCGC